rnacentral:rRNA from 1 species
GUACACUCCUACGGGAGGCAGCAGUGGGGAAUAUUGGACAAUGGGCGCAAGCCUGAUCCAGCCAUGCCGCGUGAGUGAUGAAGGCCCUAGGGUUGUAAAGCUCUUUCACCGGUGAAGAUAAUGACGGUAACCGGAGAAGAAGCCCCGGCUAACUUCGUGCCAGCAGCCGCGGUAAUACGAAGGGGGCUAGCGUUGUUCGGAUUUACUGGGCGUAAAGCGCACGUAGGCGGACUAUUAAGUCAGGGGUGAAAUCCCGGGGCUCAACCCCGGAACUGCCUUUGAUACUGGUAGUCUUGAGUUCGAGAGAGAUGAGUGGAAUUCCGAGUGUAGAGGUGAAAUUCGUAGAUAUUCGGAGGAACACCAGUGGCGAAGGCGGCUCACUGGCUCGAUACUGACGCUGAGGUGCGAAAGCGUGGGGAGCAAACAGGAUUAGAAACCCCGGUAGUCCCAU